GAUAAACGCUGGCGGCGUGCCUAAUGCAUGCAAGUCGCACGGGAAGGCCUUCGGGCGUCGACCGUGGCGGACGGGUGAGGAACACGUGGCUAACCUGCCCUGACCUGGGGGGAUACCCGCCGGAAACGGCGACUAAUACCGCAUGGGGCUUGUUUGGGGGGACCUGGACAAGGAAAGGACUUCGGUCCGGGGUUGGGAGGGGGCUGCGGCCGAUUAGCUAGCUGGUGGGGUAACGGCCUACCAGGGCGGUGAUCGGUAGCUGGCUGAGAGGACGGCCAGCCACACGGGGACUGCGACACGGGCCAGGACUCCUACGGGAGGCAGCAGUAAGGAAUAUUGCGCAAUGGGCGAAAGCCUGACGCAGCGACGCCGCGUGGGGGAUGAAGGUCUUCGGAUUGUAAACCCCUUUCGGGAGGGAAGAUGGAACGAGCAAUCGUUACGGACGGUACCUCCAGAAGCAGCCACGGCUAACUUCGUGCCAGCA
rnacentral:rRNA from 1 species